rnacentral:misc_RNA from 1 species
AUGAAAAAACUAUCAAUUAGUUUCUUUCACACCCCAUUGUUGACUUUACCAUGUUGCUUCCACUGGACAGGCUUCUUUUAAAAAAAAAGCCCUUUGGCUAGUGUGUACCCACACUUGCCAGGGAGUUGCCAGUGGCAAGACCCUUUAAACAAAACUUUUUUGAGGAAAAAAAAAACCAAAUGUCUGAGAAUUUUGAUGCAAAUGAAAUA